CUAGCAGAAAAAAAAAGCUACACAAAAAAUCAGCUGUGCUUAAAGGAUCAUUUCCGAAGAACCAACACUGGUUUGUGAGAAUCACUGAGUUUCUUCAGAUCAGGUAAAUCUGUACAGUAAAUGUGUCUGAUAAUUUCACAUUUCCACAGCAUGAACACAAAACCUCCAAUCCCUCCAUCUUAUAUAGAAGGUUGGAUUUCUUUGAAAAAUUCACUGGAAGAAUAAUUCUUUAGACACAUUCACCUCAAAGUCCUGAUGCCAUCACAGAAAAUGAAACCAGAAUGCCAGCCUGUUCACAUUUUCACAAAGUUACCAGUGUCUGAUGGAAUGAAGAAGUGAAUAAACAUUGCGUAGUUAUACUAACUGCUUUGACAGUCAUUAUGAAUGUUCAAAAAUAAUCUUCCUCUGAUUACAGAUAUCUUGUUCCUUUCUGCAGCUGAAGUGAGAACUUGUCACUUUUCUCUUUUUUUUUUUUUUUGUUUGUAGUGGAAUAAUUUGCCUUUAAUAGGCAGCCUCUCAAGGUUUGCAAAAUAAAAUAGGCAAUUAGACUGGUGUUUGCUUUAUAGCUUGAAUACAGC
ensembl:lncRNA